AUUGAACGCUGGCGGCAGGCUUAACACAUGCAAGUCGAGCGGAGAUGAGGUGCUUGCACCUUAUCUUAGCGGCGGACGGGUGAGUAAUGCUUAGGAAUCUGCCUAUUAGUGGGGGACGACAUUCCGAAAGGAAUGCUAAUACCGCAUACGUCCUACGGGAGAAAGCAGGGGAUCUUCGGACCGUGCGCUAAUAGAUGAGCCUAAGUCGGAUUAGCUAGUUGGUGGGGUAAAGGCCUACCAAGGCGACGAUCUGUAGCGGGUCUGAGAGGAUGAGCCGCCACGCUGGGACUGAGACACGGCCCAGACUCCUACGGGAGGCAGCAGUGGGGAAUAUUGGACACUGGGGGGAACCCUGAUCCAGCCAUGCCGCGUGUGUGAAGAAGGCCUUAUGGUUGUAAAGCACUUUAAGCGAGGAGGAGGCUACUGAGACUAAUACUCUUGGAUAGUGGACGUUACUCGCAGAAUAAGCACCGGCUAACUCUGUGCCAGCCGCCGCAGUAA
rnacentral:rRNA from 1 species